GUUGAGUCAUCCGCAUACAAAGACACACUGGCUUUGAGCACACUGGCUUUACUCAAAGCCAGUGACAAGAUUGAAAAAACCCUAGGACCAUGCCUCAGGACUACCUGGCUUGAUGACUCCUUGCUGUCCCCAGUUCACCUGGCCGUGCUGCUGCUCCAGUUCCAACUGUUCUGCCUGCAGCUAUGGAACCCUGACCUGUUCACCGGACGUGCUACCUGUCCCAGACCUGUUGUCCCAGACCUGCUGGAACCCUGACCUAUUCACCGGACGUGCUACCUGUCCCAG
rnacentral:lncRNA from 1 species